GACGAACGCUGGCGGCGUGCUCAACACAUGCAAGUCGAACGGUGAAGCGCCUUCCUUUUUGGUGGGUGUGGAUGAGUGGCGAACGGGUGAGUAACACGUGAGUAACCUGCCCCCUUCUUCUGGAUAACCGCAUGAAAGUGUGGCUAAUACGGGAUAUUCUGGGUCUGUCGCAUGAUGGGUCUGGGAAAGAUAUUGUUUCGGUGGGGGAUGGGCUCGCGGCCUAUCAGCUUGUUGGUGGGGUGAUGGCCUACCAAGGCGGUGACGGGUAGCCGGCCUGAGAGGGUGGACGGUCACACUGGGACUGAGACACGGCCCAGACUCCUACGGGAGGCAGCAGUGGGGAAUAUUGCACAAUGGGCGCAAGCCUGAUGCAGCGACGCCGCGUGAGGGAUGGAGGCCUUCGGGUUGUGAACCUCUUUCGCCAGUGAAGCAGGCCUGCCUCGUUUGUGGGUGGGUUGACGGUAGCUGGAGAAGAAGCGCCGGCUAACUACGUG
rnacentral:rRNA from 1 species